GGCCUCAUAGCUCAGAUGGUUAGAGUGUUGGCUGUACUGAAGCCUCCCCCUUGCUGGCGUGGGUUCGAAUCUCACUGAAACCG
rfam:Schistocephalus solidus strain NST_G2 genome assembly, scaffold: SSLN_scaffold0001401